rnacentral:rRNA from 1 species
UACGAAGGGGGCUAGCGUUGUUCGGAAUCACUGGGCGUAAAGCGCACGUAGGCGGACUUUUAAGUCAGGGGUGAAAGCCUGAGGCUCAACCUCAGAACUGCCCUUGAUACUGGGAGUCUUGAGUAUGGUAGAGGUUGGUGGAACAGCAGGUGUAGAGGUGAAAUUCGUAGAUAUUUGCUAGAACACCAGUGGCGAAGGCGGCCAACUGGACCAUAACUGACGCUGAGGUGCGAAAGCGUGGGGAGCAAACAGG